CGCACAAGCGGUGGAGCAUGUGGUUUAAUUCGAAGCAACGCGAAGAACCUUACCAGGUCUUGACAUCCUUUGACCACUCUAGAGAUAGAGCUUCCCCUUCGGGGGCAAAGUGACAGGUGGUGCAUGGUUGUCGUCAGCUCGUGUCGUGAGAUGUUGGGUUAAGUCCCGCAACGAGCGCAACCCUUAUUGUUAGUUGCCAUCAUUCAGUUGGGCACUCUAGCAAGACUGCCGGUGACAAACCGGAGGAAGGUGGGGAUGACGUCAAAUCAUCAUGCCCCUUAUGACCUGGGCUACACACGUGCUACAAUGGGAAGUACAACGAGUUGCGAAGUCGCGAGGCUAAGCUAAUCUCUUAAAGCUUCUCUCAGUUCGGAUUGCAGGCUGC
rnacentral:rRNA from 1 species